GACGAACGCUGGCGGCGUGCUUAACACAUGCAAGUCGAACGGAAAGGCCCUGCUUUUGUGGGGUGCUCGAGUGGCGAACGGGUGAGUAACACGUGAGUAACCUGCCAUUGACUUUGGGAUAACUUCAGGAAACUGGGGCUAAUACCGGAUAGGAGCUCCUGCUGCAUGGUGGGGGUUGGAAAGUUUCGGCGGUUGGGGAUGGACUCGCGGCUUAUCAGCUUGUUGGUGGGGUAGUGGCUUACCAAGGCUUUGACGGGUAGCCGUCCUGAGAGGGUGACCGGCCACAUUGGGACUGAGAUACGGCCCAGACUCCUACGGGAGGCAGCAGUGGGGAAGAUUGCACAAUGGGCGGAAGCCUGAUGCAGCAACGCCGCGUGCGGGAUGACGGCCUUCGGGUUGUAAACCGCUUUCGCCUGUGACGAAGCGUGAGUGACGGUAAUGGGUAAAGAAGCACCGGCUAACUACGUG
rnacentral:rRNA from 1 species